UGGGGAAUAUUGCACAAUGGGGGAAACCCUGAUGCAGCGACGCCGCGUGAGCGAAGAAGGUUUUCGAAUCGUAAAGCUCUGUCCUAUGAGAAGAUAAUGACGGCAUCAUAGGAGGAAGCCCCGGCUAAAUACGUGCCAGCAGCCGCGGUAAUACGUAUGGGGCGAGCGUUGUCCGGAAUUAUUGGGCGUAAAGGGUACGUAGGCGGUCUAUUAAGUCAGGUGUGAAAGCGUGAGGCUUAACCUCAUUAAGCACUUGAAACUGAUAGACUUGAGUGAAGGAGAGGAAAGUGGAAUUCCUAGUGUAGCGGUGAAAUGCGUAGAUAUUAGGAGGAAUACCGGUGGCGAAGGCGACUUUCUGGACUGUUACUGACGCUCAGGUACGAAAGCGUGGGGAGCAAACAGG
rnacentral:rRNA from 1 species